rnacentral:rRNA from 1 species
UACGUAGGGCGCAAGCGUUGUCCGGAUUUAUUGGGCGUAAAGAGCUCGUAGGCGGCUUGUUGCGUCGACUGUGAAAACCCGCGGCUUAACCGCGGGCCUGCAGUUGAUACGGGCAGGCUAGAGUUCGGUAGGGGAGACUGGAAUUCCUGGUGUAGCGGUGAAAUGCGCAGAUAUCAGGAGGAACGCCGGAGGCGAAAGCGAGUGACUGGCGCGUUCCUGACGCUGAGGUGCGAAAGCUAGGGGAGCAAACAGG